AAUUGCAAAAUUAUUCGAUAAAGCUUCAAUGCAUAAUCACGAACGGCACACGAGGAAUCAUCGAAUCUUCUGAUUCUGGAUUGAUUCAGGAUUGUGGAAAAAAUUUCUGUAAAUGAUGAAUAACUACCAGAAUUCGCCCACUGAUUCUCAAAACGGGGGUAAACCUGAAAAAAAUUAUGAUUAAUCUACUCGUCGUAUGCGCAAUCCAGUGAGAGGCCAACAUGAGAAUGAGUGACGUUAAGCAACGACUGCUGGUCCAUCAACGGAAAUUACGAAUGCAGAGGACCAUACUUCUUGGUGUAAUUACAACUGUGGGCUUUGGAAUUGCCCGUGGUUACUCCGAUUUUUAUCAGCAGUUCAAUAAUUACACGAACUCCUUUAAAUAUCGCGAGAGUCGUGAGGCACUGAGCGAGCGCAUUGUCAUUCGGAGGAAAAAAUCCGGUGGUUCAACUCACUGAAAAAAAAAAAAACAUAAACCAUACAGAUGGAGAUCUCACGUAACGGCAGUGGGACAUACCUCCAACCCCUCCAGGCCACUUCACUCCGGAAGUUUUCCUCGAAUCAAACGGUGAUUCUCAUCAUUCUCGUAUAUUCAUCCUCAACAUCUGGAAUAAUCAGAAGAUAUCUAUGGGUUCAUAACCGGGGCAAAUUCACUGGUGAAAACCGCCAAAUUGUUGUGGGUACAGCAAUCGCAAGCAUCUGAGUCCUUCCCCAUUCCCGCCGUUCGCAAGAUUAAGACAACAGUCCGAACCCAAGAUAAUAAAAAAAGGACAAACAAUACACAACAAAAAAAUGUUUGAAUUAUUUUUCCGUCGAUUCUAUCGGAAUGCUCAAUUGACCAUAUCCUGCAAAAAAAAAUUUUCUCAAUUCAAAUUCUACCGAAUAUUUUCUAACAUGUGGAUAAAACGGAGGAAAAGAUAAUAAAUUCCCAGGCAAUGAAAUUCUCCCGUACAUGAAUUUCUGCAACGACAACAAUUUCUGCUGUUACUGAAUCAACCCAGGAAUUUAUGAUCUGGAUUACGAGUGUAGGAACGUAAAAGCAUUAAAGCAGCCUCCAACAGCUAAAAAAGGUUCCCAUCUGCAUGAAUAAAAAUACCAACGGUGGAGUGAAGUGGCCAGAAAAUGUACCUUGACCGUUUGAUACACGUAAUUAUCGUAACGCCAGAAGUGGCCCCCAAGGUGCCACUGUAUUUGAUGCAACAUGUUACACGGUUGUUGAGCACCAAUAAAAAGUUAACAAUGACAAGGCAAAGGAGAGCCCAUCGCAUUUAGUCCCACCACCUGACGUUGACGCAUGAGUGACUCACACCCAGUGUCCAGGAAAGCGAUGAUGAGGCCUUGGAGUUUCACUUUCAUCACAUCCUGAGGGAGAAGUAGACAAAAAAAAAAAAAAAAGAAUCGCGUGGAGAGGUGACUUUUAGCCUUCACCCACAUGCUCGUCCUGUCCGGUGGCUGGACUUGUUCCUCAUCAACCGGUGGAUUCCAACUUUUUGUUUUAUUAUCGACGAGAAUAAUCUGAAAAUCCUGCACGCACGAGCAGCGCUCGGAGCCUAUAUGGCCUCGGGGAUUCCAUGGAUAUUCCUUGUGAAGGUGAAACAUCGGAGUAGACCUUAGCCCACAUGAGCCAUCGUGGAUGACCGCUUCUCCGAGAUGGAGAUGUCCAGGGGAUUGCGAUUUCAUCGAACCUAUCGGGGCCUCUCGGCCUCUCGCAACCUGGCUUUUCAAGAUUCACGGAGUUUCUCCAGUUUUUUGAGAAUAUCUUCGAAUCUGGAGGAGCUACCGUCAUCCUGGUUAAGACCUCUUCUGCAGAGGACAAUACGAGCCAUAAAAAAGGUCUUCAUAAAAAUUUUGCUGUCACUCUCACAUUUCAAGAUAUUCAUCGAAAUGGUAUCUAUUGUCUAAUCGACUUGUUGCCUUUAAUCUUUUCGCUAUUGAAUUGAUUGAUUCACACUCGGUGCGUCCCGUGAAAGGCCCAUUAUAAAUUUUAUUGUUUUGUCGAUGAGAAAUAUGAUUGUUCGAGAAAAAAAAAAUCAUAAAAACAACUCAUCAGUUUCCAGGGGAUUAUUCCCAUAGAUUUUUCUUCAGCCUGUGUUUUUCAUGGAACUGUUGAUGCUGGAGAGCACUUAAGACCUGACCUAGAAUAAUAUUUGUCCUCUCCAACCAGUUAUGAGUCCCCUCGAAACAAAUAAAAGUUGUUUAUAACAUAAUCGCAACGUCACCGUCAUUCUCGUACCGGUCAGGUUCAAUGCUCGUUUCGCCCACUGGACAAUCGAUUAGUCGGUUCACUUUAUCGGUAUUGCUACAUCCCAGAGUGCAAGGCCAAAGAUUCCGCGAGAAUUCCAGCGGAAAUUACCCUGAAUCCUCAGACAACCACUUGAGGAAAAACAUUUACAGCAUUCGUCGUUUAGAUAUCAUUGUCAGCAGAACAAAA